rnacentral:lncRNA from 1 species
AAGACACCAUCAUCAUCAUUUUAUUGGUCUGCGCUGUCCUCUCUUUAGGCUUCGGAAUCAAACAGCAUGGCCUGAAAGAAGGGUGGUACGAUGGUGGGAGCAUCAUUGUAGCCGUUGUGCUUGUCGUCGUCGUCUCCGCUGUGAGUAAUUACAGGCAAAGUAAACAAUUCGAGGAGCUUUCUCAUGAAACCAAUGACAUACGCGUGCAAGUGGUACGAAACGGAAGAUACCAACCUGUGUCGAUCUUUGAGCUGGUGGUCGGCGAUAUUGUGUCUUUGAAGACCGGUGAUCAGAUUC